CGUCAGCAGCGACACAGGCUCCGACCAGGCGCUCCAGAAGCCGCCGAAGCUCGGCUCAGCCAUACGCGCGCGGACGGCGAAGGUGUAGCGCGUCCGGCCCCGCAGGUUGCUCAGCACACACUCGAGCACUUACCUACUUCAUUGAUGUGGAUGACACGGUGAUAUCGCGGAGCGCCGGAGGCUGCUGUGACGCGUAACUCUAGGGGCACGAAGCUCGACGUGUCGGCUGUAGGCAGCGAACACCAGAAGCGCACCGCACCACGAGCCGUGGGAGCCUGGUGCAGGCGACACAGCUUCCAUGGCUCAUCCCUAUGCGCCCAGGGACCCGGGAGGGAAGGGAGCAGGUUGGGAGGGGGGACCGGGGAGUUGGCAUUGCCCGGCCUGUGGGGGGGCUGUGUGUAUGUGUGACACAAGGUCUAGCCUUGUGUGUGUGUGUGUGUGACAAGGUCUUCCUUCGUCGCCCAGGCUGGAGUGCAGUGGCACGAUCAUGGCUCACUGCAGCCUCAAAUUCUGGGGCUUAAGGGAUCCUCCUACCCCAGCUUCCCAAGUAGUUGAGACCACAGGCACGCGCCACGCCUGGCUUUUUUUUUUUUUUUGAGACGGAGUUUCGCUCUUGUUGCCCAGGCUGGAAUGCAAUGGCGCUACCUCGGCUCACCGCAACCUCCGCCUCCCGGGUUCAAGUGAUUCUCCUGCCUCAGCCUCCCGAGUAGCUGGGAUCACAGGCAUGCGCCACCACGCCCGGCUAAUUUUGUAUUUUUAGUACAGAUAGAGUUUCUCCAUGUUGGCCAGGCUGGUCUGAAACUCCCGACCUCAGGUGAUCCGCCCGCCUCAGCCUCCCAAAGUGCUGAGAUUACAGGGGUGAGCCACUGCGCCCAGUCAAAUUUUUUAAGAGACGGAGAUCUCGCUGUGUUGCCCAGGCUGGUCUUGAACUCCUGGGCUCAAGCAGUUCUUCCGCCUCGACCUUCCAAAGAGUUGGGAUUACAGGCAUGAGCCACUGCUGGCCUCCUUUUGGAUACUACCUCGAGAAGGCGUCCCAGCCCCGACGUAGUAACGCCUUACCCUCUAUUUGGAGGCGUUAUAUUCCCAGCCUGAUGUUUGGGGUCGCGUUCCAGCGGUGAUCGCGGGAGUGUUCGCGCCCCGGCCCAUAGGGGGCGUGCCAGCCCUGGACCCGCAGGUUUCCCUCCAGUGACCACGACUGGAGGCGCCGUCGGGCCUCAAACAGCAGGGGACAUACGAGGCUACGACCUCCAGGGAGCUCUGCCCCACCCCCUCCCUCAGCCCAUGGAGGCGCCCGCCGGAUCGGACUCACUCGAGCUGGUAGGAGAAGCUGUAGUUUCCCGGGCCCACCCCAGCGCUCGCCGCUUCCUCCCAGAAACACACCAAGUCCUCCAACCGCUCGGUGAAGCACAGAAGCUCUUCGGGCCCGCGGGCAGCCAGCAAGGCCGCUGGGGAGGGGCGACAAAGGAAGGGCAUGGGGGUCUGAACUCUAUCCUCGGGAGACAGCCCCCUCCUCUUCCCUCCCGCAGCCUGGGCGGACCCGAUAAGAAAAAAGCCCCGCCCUGCCAUCUCUCCAAGAGGGGCCCUUGGAGGGGUCCGCAGAGGUGGUGCCCCCCUAAUUCCCAGGGGCAAAUUGCUCGUCUUACUGUCCCCCGCCGUCACCACUCGCGUACACCUGCCCACGCUGCGGCCACUGAGCUGGGCGCGGCGUUCAAGACCUCGAGCUCAGGACUGCCAGCCCCGCCCCAGCCUAGGACACGCGCGCAGCUGGGGAUGUGUGCGGAGAGGCGGGCCCCCUAUCGGCCCCGGCAGGCUCCCCGCCAACCGAUAGCGCCAACCGUGCCCCCCGCCUCCCUCCCUCCACCGGGCCGGGCAAAUGAUCUGGCGCCCUCACACAAACCGUGUUUACAGUAGCCUGUGGCUUGGCCCCUCUAACUCGGACCCGGGCUUUAUCCUCCCUCCCCUAGGGAGGGUCGGCUUGGUCCCCACCCCCCCAGGGACCUUAGCACCAAGUCUGCCCCUUUAGGAUUUAGCAUGUCCCAGACUCCCUGAAAAGGUAAAACGGGAACCUUAAGCCCACUCUAGCUCUUCCCUGGGACGCGAUCAGUAGUCUUGGAUCCUAACAUACCCCACCCCGCCCCCCACCCAUCCAGGACCCAGUCUAAGGGUUCAGAUGCCAGCUUGGCCCCCAGAACCCGGUCAGGAAGUCCAGAAACAGGCAUGACCCCCAGGACCUAGGCUGGGAGUUCAGGCCCCAGUAUGGUCCUGCAGGCUCCAGUGUAGGGGUCCACACGCAGCUCAUCCUUACCUUUGCUCUCGAACUUGGGGUCCGGGAGGUUGGGCGGGGGCGCCCAGGCGGCCCCAGCGAGCAGGAGACAAAGGGAGCCGACCUGGGGCCAGAGGGACGCCCCGAGGUGGUCCAUGAUACAGCCCCCGCCACUGGAAGCCCAGGGCUCCUGCCCCUCCGUCCCCCACCCCUGGCACAGUCCACAGCUGGGUCAGCAGCUGCCUCCGCCGGACGCAGCUGACCAGGCCCUUCCCGACCAGGCGCCUCUAAGUGGCAGAUCCCCGAGGGGGCGGGGCCAGCACUCAGCCUGGGUAGAGAUAAGUGCCUGGCGGGAGGAGGCAGGGGCCCUUCCCGAGCCCAGAGGCCGCUUGGGGGCAGGGGAAGGAGUUGGGCUGCAACAGUUCCCGUUCUGGCUUCAGACACACUUUUUUUUUCCUAUGUGGCCCUGGACAGGUGACUUACCUUACCUGAGCUUCGGACUUCUCAUCUGUAAAAUCUAGCCUGGCACAUAGCGAACGUUCCAAAAAAUGUAUCUACUGAUUUUAUUGCAGAAAUCAGCGUCUCUUCCCAGCCUGGAAAUAAAUAAAAAUUAUUUUCUCUCUCUC